rnacentral:rRNA from 1 species
ACGGUCCUAAGGUAGCGAAAUUCCUUGUCGGGUAAGUUCCGACCUGCACGAAUGGCGUAACGAUCUCCACACUGUCUCGGCCAGAGACUCGGUGAAAUUGAAGUCGCGGUGAAAAUGCCGUGUACCCGCAGAAAGACGGAAAGACCCUGUGCACCUUUACUAUAGCUUGACAUUGGGAUUUGAGCCUGCAUGUGUAGCAUAGGUGGGAGGCUGUGAACUCUGUACGCCAGUAUGGAGGGAGCCAUCGUUGAAAUACCACCCUUGUUUGUUCAGGUCCCUAACUCCUUGCCGUUACCCGGUAGGAGGACAGUGUCUGGUGGGUAGUUUGACUGGGGCGGUCGCCUCCCAAAAUGUAACGGAGGCAUGCAAAGGUUCCCUCAGGCUGAUUGGAAACCAGCCGUCGAGUGCAAACGCAAAAGGGAGCUUGACUGCAAGAGAGACAUCUCGAGCAGGUACGAAAGUAGGUGUUAGUGAUCCGGUGAUCCCGAAUGGAAGGGUCAUCGCUCAUUGGAUAAAAGGUACGCCGGGGAUAACAGGCUGAUCGCAUCCAAGAGUUCACAUCGACGAUGCGGUUUGGCACCUCGAUGUCGGCUCAUCACAUCCUGGGGCUGAAGCAGGUCCCAAGGGUACGGCUGUUCGCCGUUUAAAGUGGUACGCGAGCUGGGUUUAAAACGUCGUGAGACAGUUUGGUCCCUAUCUUCUGUGGGCGUAGGAGAAUUGAAAGGGCCUGUCCCUAGUACGAGAGGACCGGGAUGGACACACCACUGGUGGACCUGUUGUCGUGCCAACGGCACAGCAGGGUAGCUAUGUGUGGAAGGGAUAACCGCUGAAAGCAUCUAAGCGGGAAGCCUGCCUUAAGAUAAGUUCUCCCUGACGCAAGUCCUGAAGGGCCGAGGUAGACGACCUCGUUGAUAGGCUGGAGGUGGAAGCCCUGUGAGGGGUGGAGCUGACCAGUACUAAUAGCCCGUGCGUCUUGUUUCU